AUCCGAUGGAUCUCAUGGAUCCGAUGGAUCCAUUUUUUUUUAUAUAACUAAAAUCCAUCAGAUCCAUCGGAUCCAUUUUUUUUUAUAUAACUAAAAUCCAUCGGAUCCAUCCGAUCCAUCAGAUCCAUCGGA
rnacentral:miRNA from 1 species